rnacentral:tRNA from 2 species
UGGGUUGUGGCUCAGCAGUAGAGCACUCACCUAGCACAUGUGAGGCCCUGGGUUCGAUUCUCAGCACCACAU